rnacentral:rRNA from 1 species
GGAGGUCCGAACCCACGAGCGUUGAAAAGCUCGGGGAUGACUUGUGGGUAGCGGUGAAAUUCCAAUCGAGCCCGGAGAUAGCUGGUUCUCCCCGAAAUAGCUUUAGGGCUAGCCUCAAGGUGAGAGAUACGGAGGUAGAGCACUGAAUGUCCUAGGGGGUAUUGCACCUACCGAAGACUAUCAAACUCCGAAUGCCGUCAUCUUAUACUUGGGAGUCAGACUGUGGGUGAUAAGAUUCAUAGUCGAAAGGGCAACAGCCCAGAUCGUCAGCUAAGGUCCCUAAAUGUAAGUUAAGUGGUAAAGGAUGUGGGAUUGCACAGACAACCAGGAUGUUGGCUUAGAAGCAGCCACUCAUUCAAAGAGUGCGUAAUAGCUCACUGGUCGAGUGAUCCUGCGCCGAAGAUUUCCGGGGCUAAAACUUACUACCGAAGCUACGGCAUCAGUAAUGAUGGGUAGGGGAGCUUCCCAUACGGGUUGAAGCAUGACCGUAAGGACAUGUGGACAGUAUGGGAGUGAGAAUGUUGGCAUGAGUAGCGAGAUGUGGGUGAGAAUCCCACAGGCCGUAAACCCAAGGUUUCCAGGGGAAGGUUCGUCCGCCCUGGGUUAGUCGGGACCUAAGCUGAGGCCGAAAGGCGUAGGUGAUGGACAACAGGUUGAUAUUCCUGUACUACCGAUAACCGUUUGAGAGAAGGGAUGACACAGUAGGAUAAGCUAAGCACACUGUUGGUUAUGUGUGCCCAAGCAUUGAGGCAGUCAAAGUAGGCAAAUCCGCUUUGAUAAUGCUGGGAUGUGAUGGGGAGCGAAAUUUAGUAGCGAAGUAGCUGAUUUCACACUGUCAAGAAAAGUCUCUAUCGAGGUUAAAGGUACCCGUACCGCAAACCGACACAGGUGGGUGAGGAGAGUAUCCUAAGGCCAGCGAGAGAACUGUUGUUAAGGAACUCGGCAAAAUGACCCCGUAACUUAGGGAUAAGGGGUGCCGCCAUCAGGUGGCCGCAGAGAAUAGGCCCAAGCGACUGUUUACCAAAAACAUAGGUUUCUGCUAAGUCGCAAGACGAUGUAUAGGAGCUGACGCCUGCCCGGUGCUGGACGGUUAAGGGGAUCUGUUAGAGCAAUCGAAGCAGUGAACUUAAGCCCCAGUAAACGGCGGCCGUAACUAUAACGGUCCUAAGGUAGCGAAAUUCCUUGUCGGGUAAGUUCCGACCCGGAGGAAAGGCGUAACGAAUUGGGCACUGUCUCA